rnacentral:rRNA from 1 species
UACAGAGGGGGCAAGCGUUGUUCGGAAUCACUGGUCGUAAAGCGCACGUAGGCGGAUCUUUAAGUCAGGGGUGAAAUCCCAAGGCUCAACCUUGGAACUGCCUUUGAUACUGGGGAUCUCGAGUCCGGAAGAGGUGAGUGGAACUGCGAGUGUAGAGGUGAAAUCCGUAGAUAUUCGCAAGAACACCAGUGGCGAAGGCGGCUCACUGGUCCGGUACUGACGCUGAGGUGCGAAAGCGUGGGGAGCAAACAGG